AAUAUUGUACAAUGGGGGGCACCCUGAACCAGCCAUGCCGUGUGUGUGAAGAAGGUCUUCGGAGUGUAAAGCACUUUAAGUAGGGAGGAAGAGCUGUACGCUAGCACCUUGCAAUCUUGACGUUACCAACUGAAUAAGCACCGGCUAACUUCGUGCCAGCAGCCGCAGUAAUACGAAGGGUGCAUGCGUUACUCGGAAUUACUGGGCGUAAAGCGCGCGUAGGUGGUUCGUUAAGUUGGAAGUGAAAGCCCCGGGCUUAACCUGGGAAUUGCUUUCAAAACUGACGAGCUAGAGUACGGUAGAGGGUAGUGGAAUUUCCUGUGUGGCGGUGAAAUGCGUAGAUAUAGGAAGGAACAUCAGUGGCGAAGGCGACUGCCUGGACUGAUACUGACACUGAGGUGCGAAAGCGUGGGGAGCAAACAGG
rnacentral:rRNA from 1 species